rnacentral:misc_RNA from 1 species
UUUUGCUUCACUUGUCGUCCUUUUCAUCAAAACAAAAUUCUGGUUGGAAACCCAAGAAAUGGGUUUCUUGUUCAAAGCCUGCUCAUUUCUCUCUCUGUUUUUGUUAAUAACUCAUCCCCAUUUAACAGCUACAAAAGCCGCGAGUUUCAACACUACCUUCUUCAAUAACACUGCCGACAGUGUAUUCAUUACCAGGAACUUACUUGCAAGCAAAUGCAAUUGGUUCAGGGGAAAAUGGGUUUAUGAUUCUUCCUACCCUCUCUAUGAUUCUUCAACCUGUCCUUUCAUAGAUUCAGAAUUCAACUGCCAAAAGAAUGGUCGUCCUGAUACAAACUAUCUCAAGUAUAGGUGGCAACCCUUCUCAUGCUACUUACCCAGGUAAUUACUUACAUUUUUUUUAUAAUACUAAACUCAUAAUUCAUACGAAAAAAUGCACCUAGUUUUUGCAUUUACAAUGUUGCAGGUUUAAUGGGUUGUAUUUCUUGGAGAAAUGGAGAGGGAAGAAGAUUAUGUUCGUGGGUGACUCACUGAGUCUAAACAUGUGGGAAUCGUUGUCCUGCAUGAUUCAUGCGUCAGUGGCCACUAGCAAGACCACCUCCGUGAACCAAGAUUCACUUCAUUCUGUGACCUUUGAGGCGAGUUAAGCUUUAUUCGCCUUUCUUUUUAUACUUAUUUUUAAAUUAAAAAAAAAAUCAAUUUUUCAAUCAUUACAUGUAGAUUCCCGCAUGGAGGAUAGAAGAAGAUUCCUGUUUCUACCUUACCAAUAAAAAUAAUAAUAAAACAGUAAAAGGCAGUGAAAGGAGGUGCAGGGAAUUUAAUGGUCCUUCCCUCCUUAAAUAAAUUAAUACCAAUCUUUGAAGUAGCCUCUUAAAGAAUAGGAUAUAGUUUUAGUUUGGUAGUAUCAGAGUUGUCUCUAAAAUCACGAGAUUUUGAAUUCAAAAUUAAAAAUGGAAAAUAGUGAAAUUAUUGCUUCCCACUCAGUAUCUCUCAUCAGAGUUGCGAUUUAUUAACUCUGAAACGAAUCAUUCAAUGGAGUGGCAACAAUAAAUUCUGGUGCGUUAUUACAGAGACUCAGAUUAAAGGGUUUGGAAAAAAUUGUAAAAUACCACCAUUAUAAUAAUAAUAAUAAUAAUAGUAAAGUUGUUAAUCAUAGAAUAAAAGUGGUAUCUUCAAUAGAAGGAGAUGCUAUAUAAAAGCUUCCUUCUGUGCUUUGUCUCAAAUGCGGCUAUAAUCUCAUCAAUAGAAUCCUCCCAAGAUUCAACCGCUUCAAUCUCUUGGCAUAGAUCUAAAGCAAGUCGACCUCCAAUUGCUGCCUCCUCAUGGUUAUCUUUUACUUCCAAGUUGAUUACCAGCACACUUUUCAUAAGAGCUUGAUCCCUGUUAUGGAGAUCUUCAAUAACCAUAUCAAAAACCUUCUCUUCAAAUGAGAGCACCACAUCAAAUGAACCAUCAGCAGCAUUCUCUUGCCAACGUUGAGGUGCCAAUUUGACAGAUGAAUUCCUUUUAAGCAUCGGCAAUAUGCCAUUACGCUUGUAACUGCACUUUUGUAAUCAUAAAAAAUGAUUAACACCAUAACAUGAGUUCAUCAAUUUUGGUUAACAUAACAGUUCGGCUAAUUUGACUAACCUUCUUCAGUUUUUAGGAAACAAAAGCAACAACAAAAAUGAAAAGCACAAGUCCAGUUUCAUCCUUCUUUUAAAUUUGCCCCAAUUAAACAGAGAACAAAAGUCCAAACUAAUUAGAUUUUUAUCACAUAAAUUUAUUUUAAAAUUAUGUUUUUCUUUCAAAUGCUAUGAAGCAUUGAACUGUUUAAGCAAAAUGUUCUAUAAAUUAAAUUUCGAAAGGGGGAAAAAAAAGUGAUCCUGUUAACUUAUUUAUGAAAAAGCACACAUAGAUAAAUUCUAGCUUCAUUUGCCAAUAAACUCAGGUCAAGAAAACAUAAGAAAUUUUUUUUUCUGAUACUUUUCAUUUCCCAAAUUUUCUUGGCGCGCACACACACACAGAGAGCAAAUAAGAAGAAAGAGAAUACAGGUCAGGGUCCUUGCGCCUGAGAUCAUCAAACAUUUGCUUGUAAGGGGUUCCAAAAUCAUAGACAUUUGGCUCUCUGAGGGAGGGUCCAGGGAGCUUAACAUGGGACCCUGUUCCAUAGGAGGACACAUCAAAGCCUUGCCUCUUGAGCAGGGAGUGAGCCUCCAUGCUUCGAUUCUGAUUCGACGAACACACCAUGGCAUAGCGGAAUUUCAUCCUUCAGCACAAAAAGAGAGCGUGGAGCUUUACAAGGGCUGAGUGAAAGCUCAAAUAUGUUAAUGCAAUAUUGCAACUCACAAGUAAUUGAUCUCCUUGAAGCACUCCACAGUCCAAAAAAAGACGACAAAACCAAAGAAAAGAAAACCCAAUUGAUAGAAUAACUUCCUAUACAGCACAAGCUCUCCGUAUUUGCCUCAGAGCCAACAUUUUAACGAAGAAAUCUUCCUGGGAAUACUGAAAAGAGUAAACCCAGGAAGGAAAAAGGAAAACCCAGACCCAGAGAUUACCUACUUACCUGGCUGAAGGAGAAGAUGUAACUUUCUCGGGAACAAAUGAGCGACAAAAUCAGCAGAAAGAGUGAAAUUUUUUAAUAUCAGAAAUAGCAAUGAAUUGUAAUUCCCCAAGAGUUGACGUUUUUAACUUUGGGCCGGCAAUGUUUGGCGGUGACCGGGCAGGACUAAUGGCUCUCCGAUUAUGAUUUUGGUUUAAU